rnacentral:lncRNA from 10 species
AGUCGGGUGUGUGUGUUCGAGAUCUCAGGAGAGAGAGCAGCUUUUGUCAGUGGGGCACGAUAUUUCAGAUCGAUGCACUGUGCUGUAUGUACAUUCUGUUUGUGGUUCCAACUGCUCUCAAGGACAUCAUCCCCCCUGCCUGCUGAUGUUGGCUGCCUUCGAUUCCCUGCUAUAAAUACUCCACGGAGAGCCCCGGGGAAAAUCCCCACACCACCUUUUAGGGCUUGUGUGAACAUUUUUCUGAGUCAUGGGAAGAUGAUGCUUGAUUUUAUUUGGGACAGCCAGCAGGUCCCUCUCCAGAACAGCUUCUUCCACUUCCUACCUCGGCAGUGCCUGAGCUGCCCCCACACAGCGUGGCCUCUUGCUGGAAGCCCACUUUGACUGUCUCCAUGUGGAUAGGCACAAAGUGGCAAGCAAGCUAUUGUUCUGGUUUGACUUCCUGUCAGCCCUUUGGCCUCCUCUGUCUGUAAAUUAUAUAGAAUAUCUUUCAGUCAUUUUCAGGAUUGUAAAUUCUGGAUAUCCAUUUUCAUUCUUAGGCCAUGCAAAUGUCUCCUCGGUGUCUGUCAACAAAUAUGACCUUUGCCGAGCGUUCUCCAAGUGCCACCAAACCCAGCAUCAGCAUCGCCUGGGAACUUGUGUGAAAUGCACAUUCUCCAGCCCCACCCUAGAUUCUGAUUCACAAAUUCCAGAUGUUGGGCCGACAACCUGUUUUAAGUCCACCAGAUGAUUCUGAUGCACGCUCAAGUUUGAGGACCACUGGUUGCUGCU